UCACAAAAAAUCUACACUGAAACAAUUUAUAUUUAAUUUUACUUAAUUUUGAAACUUAUACACUUAAAAGUAUUUAUUUUAUUAAUAAAUUCAAAGUAAAUUUCAAAAAUCUGUAUACAUAAUCGUGUAAAUUACUCCAUCGUGUAUUAUUAUACAUGAUCGUGAUGGUGUUGCGAUGACUUUGGAUCCAAAUUAAAGAAGGUUGCCCUUAUCAAUCAUCAUCAAAUUCCCAAGCGAAACCAUCUUCACUCAUUCACUCAAUCGACCACCACGGAUUCAAUCUUCAAUAGUGCUUUAAUUACACCCUCUUAAAGAUUGAAUCUAUACGUUUCAAACUAUCCAACAGUAUUGUGACACGUAGAAUACGCUUCACCGACGAACCGUGUCACAAGCUUGAAUCUUAUUGCUGCUCCACCACUUCCAUUAUCGUAAUCAGAUUGCAUCUAUUUCUUCCCUUCAAUCUUUCAUUAAAUCUCUUUCCUCGCUCUCCACCUCCUGUGUUGCAGAAGCUGCUCCCUUCACUGACAUAAUCGCCAACAGGUACGCCUUAUGUAAUUUCUUAAUUCAAUUUCUUUCUUCCCAUUCAAACAAUAUCCAAUAAAUUAUCAUUUCUUGAUUCUCAAUUUAUCUGUUGUUUCAAUUUUGGAAUGAAACCCAUAUGUCGGUCAAUCAUGCUUCAGUUCAUUUGGAAAAUUAAAUCACGAAUAUCCUUUUAGUUCUGAGGGAUGAAGAUGUGAUGUCGUAGGUAUAAUCUGUAACUAAAGACCAAAGAAAGUAAAGUUAAGAGUUCAGAAUGGGAUUCGUGGUGGUGAUAUCAUUGCCGUUAAUAUUGAUCAUCUUGAUAUUGGCUUUGGGGUGUUACCUGUGUGGCCGGGCCAAGGGUCGGCGACAAAACCCACAGCAGUAUGGGCCUCCUGCUCCUCCAGUACAGGCCCAACCCAAAUAAUGCCUACCUUGUGGUUCAUAGCUUAAUCUUGAAUAAAAUAGUAGAGCAUUGAAAUUUGUUUCCACAUUAGUGGGUAUAUUUGGUGAUUAAAUAUUUAAGUUCAUGACUUCAAAAAAAAAAAAUGAAGUAAAAUUAAUUAGUUAUUUGAUUUUCGUGUUUAAAUUAUAGUUUGUUUCAAUCUUUCUGUUUUCUAAUUUAUUUUUUUCUUUGCCUUUCUUUCUACUCUCGCUGAUUUUUCAGG
rnacentral:lncRNA from 1 species